ensembl:snRNA U6 U6 spliceosomal RNA
GUGCUUGCUUUGGCAGCACAUACAUUAAAAUUGGAAUUAUAGAGAGGUUAACAUGGCCCCUGUGCAAGGAUGACAUGCAGAUUCAUGAAGCAUUCCAGAUUANU